CCUACGGGUGGCAGCAGUGAGGAAUAUUGGUCAAUGGACGAGAGUCUGAACCAGCCAAGUAGCGUGAAGGAUGACUGCCCUAUGGUUUGUAAACUUCUUUUAUAUGGGAAUAAAACGUUCCACGUGUGGGAUUUUGUAUGUACCAUAUGAAUAAGGAUCGGCUAACUCCGUGCCAGCAGCCGCGGUAAUACGGAGGAUCCGAGCGUUAUCCGGAUUUAUUGGGUUUAAAGGGAGCGUCGGGGGGUUGGUAAGUCAGUUGUGAAAGUUUGCGGCUCCACCCUAAAAUUGCAGUUGAAACUGGCAGUCUUGAGUACAGUAGAGCUAGGCCGAAUUCGUGGUGUAGCGGUGAAAUGCUUAGAUAUCACGAAGAACUCCGAUUGCGAAGGCAGUUCACUGGACUGCAACUGACACUGAUGCUCGAACGUGUGGGUAUCAAACAGGAUUAGAUACCCGAGUAGUC
rnacentral:rRNA from 1 species